GCCACGAGUGGCUCCACCAGCUCAAACACUGAACACUGUACAAAAUGACCCCAAAAGCGGCCGUGUCCCAGCUGGCAGUGUGGCUGCAGUAGCCUUGGAAACGUCGGCCACGCCGGAGCCUGCUGCUGCCUGCCUGGAUACUCUGUCCUGUACCUUUUACAAAGGAUAAACCCCCACACACAGAAGUAGAGGCUCGCCACCAGCUGCAGUUGUGCAGUGCACCUGGACAGCAUCUGAGCAUCAGAUGGCAGUCAGAGGUUCAGCAAAUCCUAGUGUUAUAGAUCUUUCUUCCAGGCAUUUGAUGCACAGGAAAAAGAGGCCAAAGAAGCAAAAGAAUGUGCUAACACUGCAGAUGUGGACAAACAACUUGCUCUUCAGAAGAAGAAGGAAGUGGAAAAUAAGUUAAAAAACCUGCAGGAGCAAUUAGCUGCUUGACUGUUUACUACCUUGUGUGAAAAACUAUGGAGAAAUUAAACAGAUAUCUUUGUUAAAGCUAUGUUCCUUACAAAACUGGCUGCACUUAGAAACAAGAUGAGGUGAAUUUCUUGUGCAUAACAGUGUUUGGCCAAUUGCAACUGGCAGUUCAGUAGUUUACUAUUUAUGCUAAAUUUAAUUUCAAACAGCAACAAGUCUUUAUUUUCUGACACAGCAGAUGCUAUCAGAACAAACUACAGGUGCUUCACAAGAAUUCUUGGGGUGAUUAAAAAAAAAAGAUUUAAAGCCAACUUCUCCCUCCAACAUUGUGGUCAGUUCCUAAGUAAAUACAAAUAGUUGCCCUAAAUAAAUGAGAACGGUUCCAUGCUUUUCACUUGUUUAGAAGGUGGGUGGUGAGGUUCCCUGCCAGGGUUUGAUGUCAGAGAGGCCAAUACAGACUUGGAGCAUGGAAUUAUGGACAUUAAAGGGACUUUUGGAGAUCCUCCAGUCCAAGCCCUCGUUCAAACCUGAGCAGAUUGGUCAGGGCCUUUCCCAGUGGUGUCUUGAGUCUCUCCAAUGAUCAACAGUCCACCACCACUAAGGACAACCUGUUCCAGUGUUUGACCACGCUCAUGUAGAAAAAGCUUUUUCUUAUGUCUGUAAGCAAUUUUUCUAUUUUAAUUUGUGCCUGAUGCCUCUUUUCUCACUGGAUACCUCCCAGAACAGUCUGGCCCUGUAAUGUUUUACUCCCUCCCACCAAGUAUUUAUGCACACUGGUUAAUUAAGAUGCCACCUCCCAGUCCUUCAGCCUCUUGCAUGUCAGAUACUCAUCUCUUCAUCACCUUGGUGGCAUUUUUCUGUAUCUCACCUUCUCUCAAAUCCUGUCGCAGUUUAUCCAAAAUUCAGAAUGUUCUUUCACUGAAGGAUUGAGGUCAUUUCUCAGGAUUCUCAAGGCUGGGAAUGUGAGGUGCCACUGGGAGCACAUCAAGGAAGGUGAAAAUAUCCAUCCACUGCUCCAGGCACCACACUUCAGGCUCUGAUGGGCACAUCUUGGUGUCACUGCUGUUCUCCCUGUGAUCUCAAAGAGCAGUGAUGCCACAUAUGACACCACUUCUUGCUGGUGUGUUUUGAUGCUUUUGUCCAGACAAAAAACUCAAACCAAAACAAAAAACAACAACAAAAAACCCACAACCAAACAUACAUCACCCCCCCAAAAAAACACCCCAAACCAACUAACCAAAAAAACAGACAUCCCCCCCAAAAAAAAAACCCAAAAAAACCCACAAACACACACACACAAAACUCCUUUCACUCCUAGGACAGUCUGCCAUUUGCCAUUCCCCAGUACCCACCCGAGUUCACCAGUGGUGAUUCUGUCUCAGUGCCCCUCCUGCCCAAUGCCAUCUGUGCCAGUAUGAACUGCAGCCUUGGGAAAAAAACCCACAAGUUCUCUUUAGAAGAAUUUAAAAUAUGAUUUAGAUGUUUCUAGGUCCUCAUAUAGAAAGUGGAUAUGUUAAAUAAAACACAACUAUAUUUGCAUUUUCAAACACACUUUUCUGUCCUAAAAUAAGACAUCUUUUAGGUAUCAAUGUAUUU